AUUGAACGCUAGCGGGAUGCUUUACACAUGCAAGUCGAACGAGUGGCGGACGGGUGAGUAAUCUAUCGGAACGUGCCCCGUAGCGGGGGAUAACUACUGGCAACGGAGCUAAUACCGCAUACUAUCGGAUGACCCCAUAUGGGAUUAGCUAGUAGGUGAGGUAAUGGCUCUCCUAGUCGACGAUCCCUAGCGGGUUUGAGAGGACGACCAGCCACACUGGUACUUAGACACGUCCCCGACUCCUACGUGAGGCAGCAGUGGGUAAUGGUGGACAAUGGGGUAAACACUGAUACAGCCAUCCCGCGUGUAUGAUGAGGGCCUUCGGGUUGUAAAGUACUUUUGGCAGGGAAGCGGUAGCUGCAGAAUAAGCACCGGCUAACAACGUGCCAGCAGCCGCGGUAAUAC
rnacentral:rRNA from 1 species